ensembl:snRNA U6 U6 spliceosomal RNA
AUGCUCACUUUGGCAACACACACACUAAAAUUGGAACAAUACCGAGAAGGUUAGCAUGGCACAAGGAUGACACACAAAUUCAUGAAGCAUUCCCUAUUUUU